CACGUAGGGGGCAAGCGUUGUCCGGAUUUAUUGGGCGUAAAGAGCUCGUAGGUGGUUCGGUAAGUCGGGUGUGAAACCUCCAGGCUCAACCUGGAGACGCCACCUGAUACUGCUGUGACUGGAGUCCGGUAGGGGAGCGUGGAAUUCCUGGUGUAGCGGUGAAAUGCGCAGAUAUCAGGAGGAACAUCAGCGGCGAAGGCGGCGCUCUGGGCCGGUACUGACACUGAGGAGCGAAAGCGUGGGUAGCAAACAGG
rnacentral:rRNA from 1 species